rnacentral:lncRNA from 1 species
AUAUGGCCCUUCCCAAUUCGGUCCCAGCACUCCUUGAGUGGAAUCUUUGGUGCUCUGAUUCACUCUUCUCAGUACCCAGUCUCCGACCCUAAAUUGCCGUAUGUUCACCUUCUGGUUAUAGUACCGAGCAACCCUCUGUUGGUAAGUGACCGAUCGCUCGGCUGCUUGCUCCCUCUUUUCCGUCAGCAGAUCAAGAUUCAAAC